GCUAGCCGAGUUAGUUAGUGCAUGGAGCUACAUGCAGGUGUGGCCUCGUAGUAGUUAGGCCGUCGGAGCGAUCUGUGGAGCUGGCCGCGUUCUGGGCGCGUGGUGCGCGUCGUGCGCUAGCCGGGCAGAUCGUGCGGAGGUAGCUGCUGUACGUGGGGAGAUAGGAUGCGGUGUGUACGUGCACACGCGCAGGUAUAAAACCCUCCAGACCUGAUGUAGCUAAGACGCAAGAGCCGGUGUUGCAGCGAUGUAGCUAGUGAAAAGAUCAAGAAGAUUAGGGCGUGCGUGCGCCCACGGCGGCGUUCGUGCGCCGGCCCGGAAUUUCUUGUGUCUUGUGUCUUCUUCUACCUCUAGCCCAGAGUGAGAGAGGGCUGCGGUUCCAACAAUUGGUAUCAUGAGCUUGGUGUCUCGGGCGUGCUUGCCGUGUCGGAGGCGUGGCAGUGAUGGCGGCGCUCGCCGGCGGCUGCGCGAUGGAGCUCCGGGCCGUGUGUUGGCCCAUGGAGGUGGGCGGCGCUGUGGCUGUCAUGGCGCGUGGCGGAUGCGCGAUGGAGCUCCGGGCCGUGUGUUGGCCCAUGGAGGUGGGCAGCGCUGUGGCUGUCAUGGCGCGUGGCGGAUGCGGUGGGCGGUGAUGUCGUACGUGCGGCGACCGCGGAGGCCGCCGAGGCGCUGCGUGGUGGCGCGGCGGCGCAGCACAACAUAGUAGCGUGGAGGCACUGCAUGGCGGCAUGGAGGCCGCGGCGAUGCAGGGCAAUAAGACGCGGCGGCGAGCCGGGCACGACCGGUGCGUGUUAUGGGUGCGCACUAGACGCGUCGAACACGUCGGGACCGCGGGCGCGCGUACGAGCGUGCAGUUGACGUUGGGAGGAGGCGUAUGUCGCCGUGGUGCUCGAGUUCGGCUACAUCCUUCUGGCGUUUGUCGCUGGCGGCUGCCAUGGCGGACGCGGAGGGGCACGCGGUGAGCGUCUGGUGCUGUCGGGCUCGUCGGGCGUGUCAGAUGCGCGGGGGACGUGCGGGACUCACUGGUGCGGUCAGGCUCGUCGGGCACGUCGGAUGCGUGCGGGACGGGCGUGACACGGAGGGACGCCAGGCGUGUGUCGCCGACGGAGAAGGAGCUCGGCGUAUGUCGCCGGAGGCGUGACGGAGCACAGUGCGACCGUCGUCGGUGCACCAGGGUCACGGUCAUGGCGACAUCGACGACGGGGGGCUACACCAACUCCGACGAAGGUGAGCUGGUGGCACGUCACAACGACCGGCUGAGGCGCGCGGUGGCAUCAGGUGGAGGCAGCCAUGGCGACGUCAGCGACGACGAAUCGGUGCUCCGGCGAGGUCAUGGUUUAGGGGGGGAUUGUUAGCAAUAAACCAUGCACAUGUGUGUUGAGAUGGUGCGUGUAGUUGGCUGGGUCAUAGUCAGGCGUGCAUGCUAGCCGACUUAGUUAGUGCAUGGAGCUACAUGCAGGUGUGGCGUCUGUAGUAGUUAGGCCGUUGUAGCGAUCUGUGGAGCUGGCCGCGUUCUGGGCGCGUGGUGCGCGUCGUGCGCUAGCCGGGCAGAUCGUGCAGAGGUAGCUGCUGUACGUGGGGAGGUAGGAUGCGGUGUGUACGUGCACACGCGCAGGUAUAAAACCCUCCAGACCUGAUGUAGCUAAGACGCAAGAGCCGGUGUUGCAGCGAUGUAGCUAGUGAAAAGAUAAAGAAGAUUAGGGCGUGCCUGCGCCCACGGUGGCGUUCGUGCG
rnacentral:lncRNA from 1 species